UUAGAUUGGAUAUAAGGAAGAAGUUUUUACAAUAAGGGUAAAAGGGUGAGGCACUGGCAUGCUCUAUGAUAACGUUGAAAAUUGUGCCCUGCCUUGCCUCAGCAUGGUUUAGUGAAAUAAUCACUGGUAAAUGUAAGAUUUAUAUGCCCACCACUGUAUGAUGUAUGAGCUUACAUAGCAAGGAGUGCUGACAUAGCUUUAUAGAUGAAAUGUUCAGUACUAAGGCUGUGGUUGUGUAAUGAAUUCUGUGAAUCUAAUACUGUUUGCCUGGCAUCUGGUGCAGAAAAUCUUGUAUAAUCUAGUAAAAAGAAAUAUUAUUUUUGUUCUGCGUGUCACCAGAAAAUGUCAGCCACUGUAACUUCAAUGUGGCAUUCAGAGGCGUACUGCAACGACUACAAAGAAGAUUGUACUACAUUACAGGAGAUGAUAUGACUUAGAAAAAGACAAGAAUAGCUUUGUGACAUAAAUCCUUGAGGUAAAGAAACUAAAUCCUCGACUUGUAAAUAGGUUUGUACAGAAAAUCAGUUGUUUGCUUUAAUUAUUUUUCAAGCAGAUGGGUCAGCAGUCUGCAGCUGGGUCUGGUUGGAGGAGCACUGCCAGGGCACUCAUUUUGGUACAUUAACAAUGGUCACUGAAGGAGACUGACUGGUUGCAAAGUAGGAUUGACCAGGGAAAUACAAAUAGCAAAAUGAGUGGGGACAAUUUUAAUGUAUGAAAAAUGAGUAUGACUUACCUAGUUCACAAACAGCCUGGACAUGAAACAAUUGUAAAUUAUAGAAUCAUAAUCGUGAUGCUAGAAGGUUUUCUUAGAAAUCAUGUAAUCCAGUGCUAUGACCUAAGCUGUGAUUACAUGAUUUGUGGCACAUUCUUGUGCCAUCCAAAGUCAAGAGUCCGACUGCAGUCUUUUCUACUGUUCAAUUGUAAUUACUUUUAGGGAGUUUCCUGAUGCUUAAUUGAAUUUCUACUACUGUAAUUGAAGCCUUUUUGUUUUGUUCCAGCAGCUGAAGGCACAGAGGACAUUUUAUUUCUGACUUUAACAUCAGUAGUGCCUUAUGGUGGGAAGCGUUUAAAUGCUGCCCAUCACUGAGGAAGAGUGGCUGAGAGAUGAACAGAUCCCUUUGCUGUUGUCCUGAAUUUCUGAAUCUGUAAUGUCUCAGAAGACUCAUUAUUAAUACCCCAAAAUAGGGAACUUAAAAUGUAAAGUCAUCCUCAGUGCACUGUGCAGAAAAUGAGUGCAUUAACCUCUGCUCUGGAUCAUGCUGCUGUCACAGCACUGUGCCCCUGCUCACAAACAGGAUGUCACCUCCCUGUCACUGAGUCCAGCAGGAGAUGGGUGCGGCCAUCUGCCAAGGUGCAGAACAGAACCACUUAAGAACUGACCAUGGAGAAUUGUCUGGAUGGCUGAAUUUGGAAUCGACUUCUGCUUUUCAAGAGGUCUGUGAAUGGACUGGAGAAAGCCUUCAUGAGAGCAAUCAUGCAACUUGAAAAUACAGCCUGUGAGGAAGGCUUGAAAGGAUUUGGUAUGUUUAACCUGGAUAAGAGAAGGCAGAGAGGAGGCAUGGCAAUAAAUAUGUGGAAGACUGAAGCAAAGGGAGAAGAAAUAAACUGCUGGACAGAAUAAAAUGUUGUGAACUUACACCCCAGCUGAGGAGACAUCAGGAAGCCGUUUUCAUUGGUGUGUUCAGCAUGGGACUGGAUCACUUCCUAAUGUGGGAUCUCUGCUAGUAGAGGGUUUACCAGUGCACUAUACAAACCAAUCCUGUUGCAAAAUCUAUUCAUCUGGCCAUGACUAGAUAGCAAUGGUGAGAAUAACAUCCACAACUCAUUACAUCUCGUUCUUCUAAAACCAGAUGGCAUAAACCAGUGAAGGCCAAAUAAUUCAUCAUUCCACAGACUUGCAAUGGACUGGCCCUCAGAUGAGGCCUGGAAUAUUGGAAAUCUUUUCAUGCUGCUACAGGCAAGACAGUUUCUCUGUAUUAUUGUAGAGUUGAGUUUAUAAAUGCUGCAGUGGAAUGUCAAGUGCUACUAAAAUCCUGAUUUUGAUGGGUAAUAUCAGUCUUUUCUGGAAUUCCUUUAUGAAUCCUUGACUUCAACAACAUAUCUGUAUUUCUUUAAAAAGAGCAGCAUAAGUGGCCUGCAGAUAAACAGUGAAGAAUGGUUAAUUGCCCUUCAAGUAAAAUAACUCUAUGAGCAGUCAAUGGAAGAAUUGAGAGCAGCACUACCUGUCAGUCAUCAAAGCCAACCAACUAUUUGGAGGGCUAUACAGCAUCACUGACUUCAUCAGAUUAUUGGCUCACAGACAGGUAACAUCAGCCCAACCUUUUGUAUCAAGAGCAGUGACCAUAUAACACAUGUAUUGUGCUCAGUGCUCCAUUCUUCCAGACUGUUACCAAAUGACUAUGGAAUUGUGCACGACACACACAAAAAAGCAAUUCCUUGGGCUUGAUUAUCUGGUCUAGCCAGGCACAGCGUGCUAGCCAGUAGAAUGGCAUGAAAAGUUGCAGCUCAAGAUGACAGGAUGAAAAGAACCAUAGAAAUUGUAAUGGUUGUUCUUA